GAGUUUGAUCUUGGCUCAGAUUGAACGCUGGCGGAAUGCUUUACACAUGCAAGUCGAACGGCAGCACGGGGGCAACCCUGGUGGCGAGUGGCGAACGGGUGAGUAAUACAUCGGAACGUGCCCAGUUGUGGGGGAUAACGUAGCGAAAGCUACGCUAAUACCGCAUACGAACUGAGGUUGAAAGCGGGGGAUCGCAAGACCUCGCGCAAUUGGAGCGGCCGAUGGCAGAUUAGGUAGUUGGUGGGGUAAAGGCCUACCAAGCCGACGAUCUGUAGCUGGUCUGAGAGGACGACCAGCCACACUGGGACUGAGACACGGCCCAGACUCCUACGGGAGGCAGCAGUGGGGAAUUUUGGACAAUGGGCGCAAGCCUGAUCCAGCCAUUCCGCGUGCAGGAUGAAGGCCCUCGGGUUGUAAACUGCUUUUGUACGGAACGAAAAGGCCUCUUCUAAUACAGGGGGCUCAUGACGGUACCGUAAGAAUAAGCACCGGCUAACUACGUGCCAGCAGCCGCCGUAAU
rnacentral:rRNA from 1 species